ACUCCGUGAAGCUGGAUUCGCUAGUAAUCGCGCAUCAGCCAUGGCGCGGUGAAUACGUUCCCGGGCCUUGUACACACCGCCCGUCAAGCCAUGGGAGCCGGGGGUGCUUGAAGUGCGUCGCCGCAAGGCGCGCCCUAGAGCAAAACCGGUGACUGGGGCUAAGUCGUAACAAGGUAGC
rnacentral:rRNA from 1 species